rnacentral:piRNA from 1 species
CAUCAACAGUUCAGCGAUGU